CAGACGCGAAGAAGGCUGCAGCUCCUCACCCUGCUGCCCAAAAUCAAAAGGCUGCCUCGUUUUCCUUUUGACCAGAGACACACAGUCAAGCUCUUUUGAAUCUGGCAUCACAGAUGUUGAGACAUAUUUUUGCAGAGAAGUUUAUGAUGACAUUUAUGAGCUGUGCCUCACAGUGAUCUCUCAAGGGCCUGAAUAAUCCACCCGUAGAAUGUCCACUCACAUUGCUGACAUUUCAUUAUAAUUCUAGAGAAUUGGCUUCAAUCCUGAGGUCACACAGAGAUGAAAUUUCAAGGGGGAAAACAGCAAUGGAUUCUUUCUGCAAAACUCAUUGAUUUGUAAAAAGGGAGUCCAACAAGCAAUUUGCUCAAGAGCAGAGAAUGUGGUCUUUGCAGAAAAAUGUCUCAAGAUCACCU